rnacentral:tRNA from 1 species
CAGAGAGUAGUUUAACGCUAAGAAUGCUAGCUUUGGGAGUUGGUGGUGGCGGUUGGAUGCCGUUCUCUCUGA